rnacentral:lncRNA from 1 species
GAGUUCUUCAAGCAGUCAAAAUAGCAAAAGUUUAUUUAGCAAAAUCUGCCUGCACGCCUGCAUCUUGGUAAAACCACAGUAAGAAAUAAAAUCAAUGAUUAAUUCAGAUCUAUAUCCAGUAAGAGCAUGAGUCGCAGUCAUGAGCCCUCCCGGCCCCAAACCCCCAACAGCGUAGACUUCCGCGUGAGAGAGACGUAAAUUUCUGCUUUGCUUUAAGUAAUACCGUCAUUUUUAUUUUGUUAAAGGAGCCCUAAGCCCCCAAAGACCACCUUCAAAAGGACCUUAGUGUGUGUGUGGUGACAUGUGGACCUGGAGUGGGUGUCACACGUGCCACGUUCAAAGCAGAGUGUCGUUAGAGCACAGUGCUCAGACGCCGUCGGGAGCACGCACCUGAACGGGGCCCUCAGAGCCGAGCGCUGCCCGGUUCCUGCAGCGCUGCCCUGAGCAGCGGGGCGGGGCUUAGCUGUCCUCAUAGGUGGGUGUGGAGCACGUGGACCACAGAUCCAAAGCACGCCGAGCGAGGCCCGUCCAGAAUGGGCGGACACCGAGUGAUGUAAAAGAGAGAAAGCAGGGAAACUGGAGCAACGCGAGCAGAAGAAAGAAGAUAAGCAACAAGGGCAGCCUUCGUGAGAACCGAUGCCUGGCACGCUUCUACAAGUUCCCUGCUCUUUUCAGAUUUAAUCUCCACAAAAAUUCCCUGAGUCUAAGCGGUACUGCCCUCAUUGUUCAGAAGAGGACGUCAGGACGCAGAGAGGGCGUGGUCCCCUCAGAGCUCAGCCAGGACCUGAGCGGGUCCCCAGGUUGCGCUGCGCCUGAAGGCACGGACGCGUGUCCCCCAGCCCGUCACGGAGCCAGCAGGACACCCAGCCAAACCUCAGCUUCCCUGAGGCGUUCAAGGGCGAGGUGGUUUGUUCAGGGCAGAGGGUGGCUGUGACCUACAGAGACAGGUCUAGGAGUUGAGAGGAGGGAUAUUAUGCUUGAACAUGUGGUGCAUGAUACGUAAUUAUUUCUAUAAACUUAGUCUUGUUUUUAAACGCGGAGACGCACGGGGCGUAGAAACAAGGAGAUGAAGGGCUUCGGGCGACCUCGAAUAAAUUCUUUCAGUUCUUCGCAGCUCGACUUCCUCCAUUUCCCCCCGAAGGGCUGGUCCUGCGGGCGGCUCCAGGCACAGGCAGCCCUAACUCGCUGCGGGGCGGGGUCCCUGGGGAGCCUGGGGAGGGAGCACACAGGGAGCCUGAGGGAGGGGCUCGCUCCCGCUGGGACCAGUCCUGUGUCCACUUCCCUGCCCUCAGCCAGUCUGCUCCCAGGGGAAGGUGGCGAAGGCAAGGGCAGAGGCGAUUGAAGUGCUCAGGCCUCAUUCCUCGUGUUUAUCCAGCUACCUCCACCUCCAGACUCCCAACGCCCCUCUCACUUGUGUGCACUGCAGAAUUGUUCUUGUUAGAGUGUCUCAGAACAUUUUUCCACGGUGUCUUCCUUCCCCAGGCAAUGCUUGGGCUUCAGGCAUUUUCAAAUCUAUUCCCCAAGCAUCUGAAUUUCACUUUCACCACUUCCCAGCUGCUGGCUCACUAACUAGUCAGGUGCAGAAACUAAUCAGGGCUGGGCAUAAUAGCUUAAUCCCUUCUCAUGCAAUAGGGACCUUUCUGAGAAUUUGUCCCAAGAGUCUCGUGGGUCCUGGUUAGGGGAGCUUGUGGAGUUUGCAUAAGAAAGUUAUAUUUAAGGCCAGGUCUGGAUGAAAAACUUAAAUUUGCAUACUGUAGAGUUUUCUUCAGUUCAAUUCAGUGUUGCAAGUAUUAAUUAAAUGUGACUGUGGCAGCUGUUGAGGUUUUUCACUCUCACAUAAGCUCCGGUUUAGCUGUCGGGAUAAUUCAAACAAAUGCAGGAUUCAUUUCUAGAAGGGGUUUCUACACCCAAGUGCUGCCUCUUUCCCAAGUCUGGUAAACUGGGGAGUAUGACCUAGACAGAAACCCAAAGUCUCUGUGACGUAUCUCCAUCUUAACCCCGAAGCAGGUCCCGAGAGAUCAGCUUCUUGCUUCCCAUUCUUCAUGACCCUCCUGCGGCUUUAGAACCACAAGUACGUCCUAAGGGAAAGGGCCUCUGAUGUCUGGUGAUGACAAAGGAUUAGAGCACAGAAGUGGCACUGUUGCUUAUAAUCAGCGUAUAAAUAAAGCUAUGUCUUUCUUUGGAAGUAGGAAAUUGCAAUAUGAUUAAUAUCACACUACAUUUACACAUUUAGUUGCCACUGACCACAAGGUUUGGAAGGUUUCACAGAGAUGACUAUUUUGAGCUGGGUUUUGAAGGAUGAAUAGGAGUUUGCCAGUUUAAGCAGUGGGGAAAUUCCGGACCUUGGAAAGUGCAUGAGCACAAGUCCACAGGUGUGAGCAUGCUUGGAAUGUCCAGAAAACGGCACGGCGUGCUGAGGGGCUGGAUCAUAGGAGUACGGGACCGAGCUCAGAAGUUAGUGGGAAGGUAGGAUGACUGACAGUAAAGCUUAUUAUGUGGCCUGAAGAAAUUGAAUAACUGAGAGUAAAACGGGGGGCAUCUUGAUGUUUUCUGGAAAUGGGGAAGUACUAACGUUACAGGGGAGCCUAGAGUAACUGGAAAAUACAGACUUUAGUCAUGGUUUUGUCUAAAACAAGAUCGUCUGGGGGCAGAUUGCUCAUGAACGAUGUAGGCCCCUGGACCUGGUGACCCCACAUCUCUCUCUGCCUUUCUCUGGUUUUAGGAAUGUCAGGCGGGAGCGAACAUCGUUUUGGAACGGUGCCUGGUGUGGCUCCAGGAUGUGGCGAUGAGAUUGUCACUGAGUUAGCUUUGUUGGCCUCUGCCUGAAGCACCAGUUCCUUUUCUUCUCGAGCUUUCUAGAAGACAUUGGCCAAGUCAGAGUCUCAAUCCAAAAGCUUUGACAGAGGGGUGUGUGUGUGUUGUGUGUGUGGAGAAACCACCAGUAUGUUUUGGAGUCACUCCGAGAGUUGAGUUGAAAGUCCUUCCACAGCCUGGCAGUAAGCGUGGCGUCUGUUCCGGGUUGAACGAAUAGAGAGAAGCUCCAUCGCUGCUGCCGUUGGAGACGGGGCACCGUAGGCGCCGUGACCUGUUUAUGAAGACCACCUGCUGGCCUCUGGGGUUGUAACCAAACCCUCCUGUGAACAUGAGAUGCAGCCCCUGUCGGUUGGGGAGACAGGCAGGCGGGCUGACUUGACAGAAAAUCCCACCUCUGUCCGUAUUAGCUGUGUGUUCAAAAAGUGAAGUUGCUUAACUUUGGAGAACUUCAGGUUCUCAUGAGCUGAUGCCUCUCGGGUUACUGUUAAGAUGAAACAGUGCCCCUCGAGUCCGCGAGAGCGCCCAGCUCACGGCUCACCGUGCGGCCAGCUGCAGAAUGAGCUCCUCUGCGUCCCACGGAGCCCCCAGUACAUCUCGCUCAGCUUCCCUCUCUCGAGGCCAUCGCCCAGUUCCUUAUGCCUUCUGACCUUCUGACCGCGUCUUGUUUCCAGCCUCUCAUUAUGUCUGUGACUGUUUUCAGACCCUGCCUUUGGGUCUCCUUUGGUGACACGUGAGCCCCACCUUUUAGGAGCUGACAGCCACCGCCACUUGCAUUCUCCUUCUCGCCCAUCACGCUCCGUUCACUCCCACUGUCCCCCUCCUCCAGGACAGACACGAAGCAGAGAGACGCUCAGCCGGCACCCUCACCCCUUCCGAGGGAGGGAGAUUGGUCCUCACAGCAGCUGCUCCUGAGACAGGCUCUUGGCAAGGCAUCCGCUGCCCCCAAGAUGCACAGCCUGCCCCCGCCGUCCCCCCCUUUCUGGGGAUGGUGGGAUCAUAAAACCGGGGAUGGGCUCUCCACUGCAAAACCACCCACAGCACGUGUAAUUCAGCGAUGGAUGGAGUGACUCUGCAUAAACUGUCCGAGGGUCCAGAAGUGACAGCACCACCAGUCAUUCAUUAAUGCGGAACUAAUACAAAACCAGUGCGUGGCGGGACCUCCAGCACUGGAUAGUUAUUUCAACUGGAACCGAACCGAAAUACCAAUUUUUGUGCUAAAUGUGACCAGCAACCGCUGAAUAAUGAAGGACUCCGAGAAGAUUUUCCCCAUCACAUAAGAGCAAUCACAUGUUUAAUUAAUAUUUUUAGCAGACAGUCAAAUGCCGAUUGUGUGUCACUGUGCUGUGUAAUGUGCCCAGAUGCUCCUCUUAGGGACUUCAUGCAUGUUAUCCACUAAAGGAGACGGUCUGUGCUGUUUACGGGACAGCCAAGUCUGUGUCGUUGUUUUUAUUUUUAAUUUUUUAGGUUUUGUGUUUGUUUUUGGUUUUUUUUUUUUUUUUUGCUUUUUAGGGUCGCACCCCAGCACGUGGAAGUUCCUAGGCGAGGGUUCGAAUCGGAGCUACAGCUGCCGGCCUACACGACAGCCACUGCAGCACAGGAUCCGAGCCAUGUCUGUGACCUACACCACAGCUCAUGGCAACACCAGGUCCUCAACCCACGUGGUGAGGCCAGGGAUCCACCCGAAUCCUCAAGGAUGCAGGUCGGAUUCAUUUCUAAGGAGCCACAGUGGGAACUCCUGUAUCAUUGUUUUAAAUUUCUUACAAUGUUAUUUACUUUCUACGAAUGUCAAAACGGAGGCAACGUCCAUUUAGGCCUUUGUCUGGAGUAGAUUCAGAUCCUGUGAGUGGAGUUUUGAGGUAAGCCUAUUACUUCUGUGUAGCACCAUAGCCUUCCCAGACUCUGGGUUAGGGCGACCUGGCUUCCCUUCCAGAAAUGUUGUAGGGUUACGACCGCCACGCAAACGUCAUUAAUUCUUAUUCUUUCAAUUUAGCAAAGGGUUUGGGUACUAAGAAAGUGCUUGACCUCUUAUUUUGCCAAUUCCUUGUGCCUUUCCAGAAUGUGUGUAACAUGAAAAUAGUGGUUUAGUGUCUUAAUGGAGGAUGGAACCCAUUAAUGGAACUUUCCGCAACAGACACUAACAUUUGUCACAAAGACGAGCAGAGCACCUACCAACUUGGUUUCUGGGCAAAUUUUGAUUUUUUUUUUUCAAAUUUCAGCCUUUCAAAGGUCAAAUCAAAUUUUUCUUGAAAACUUCAGAUAAGAAAACUGAAUUUGGAAGGUCUUUUGGAGACAGAAUUAUUGCUGUGUCUAAAUCCCACCCCCAAUUUUCAGUUCUCCUUUGUUAUACUAUUAUUAUGAUUUUCUUGAGCUUACUUUGUGAUUUCUAAUGCCAUUCAGUUGGUAAUUGGAUUACAUUUAAGGCAAUGCAUCCCAUAAGUAUUGUAAUGCACAUUCUAAGUGUAAGGAACUGUUUAGGAAGCUAAAACGUCUUAGUUACACAAUGUUAGACACUUGACAUUUUGUAGUCCACUCCUUGGCAUGUCCCUACUCCAAACUACAAAUCAUUUAAAAGAAUUCCUUUGCAUUUCUACCUUCUCUCUACCCUGAAGGUGGCGCCCAAAACUCCAAACAAACAAACAAACAGUUUCUAAAAUAUCUUUGACUAAUGAACAAUGGGGUGACCCUCUGAGCUCUAUGCAGGCAUUGUGGGGUCAACAUGAACCACAGCACCAUUUCUGGGGUCAGUGGUUCUGCUGAUUUUCUCUUGAGCGAAGAGCAUGUGCUCGGGUUUCCUCCCUUAGUGUAGAUGACGAUGGGGAGAUGACGAUGGGGAGAUCAGGAUGGGGGGAUGACGAUGGGGAGAUGACGAUGGGGAGAUCAGGAUGGGGAGAUCAGGAUGGGGGGAUCAGGAUGGGGAGAUGACGAUGGGGAGAUCAUGAUGGGGAGAUGACGAUGGGGAGAUGACGAUGGAGGGAUCAGGAUGGGGGGAUCAGGCUGGGGGGAUGACGAUGGGGAGAUCAGGAUGGGGAGAUCAGGAUGGGGAGAUGACGAUGGGGAGAUGACGAUGGGGAGAUGACGAUGGGGAGAUGACGAUGGGGAGAUGAGGAUGGGGAGUUGUUAGAAAGGAGACUUCUUUGCAAAAAUGUUGAUGAUCACUGAUCUAAUCCAGAUCAUCUCUGGGCAGAAUUUAAUUCAAAGUUUUCCCCUUCAAAUCGCUAGAUAACUGAGCAGAAUAAAUGGGUCCUCCUGCCUGCUGCAGAUGCCAAGUCGACAAGACCUUUCUUUUCUACUAUUUCUCAAUCCCAGAAAUUAAGUGAAGUGUUCCAAGAAGAUGCUUCGCACUGUGUCCUUGUUCCCACAGCUUCUUUUUGUUUAAAAGUGGGGGAGGGUAUUAAGAUAGUGACCGCAAGUGGAAUUUCGUUCUUGACUUCUUCCCAUCUAUGUGUCGAACUAGUUAAUUUUUCCUUUUCUACCCAAAGGAGAAAUUACCAGUCUUUGCUGCGACUGCCAAGCUAAUUAACUGACUGAUAACCAAACUGGCUUUCUCUUGACGUGUUUUGUUUUUUCUCCUCUCCUAACCAAACUUUUUAAUAAAGUAUAUCUCUAACUG